AUACUUACCUGGCAGGGGAGAUACCAUGAUCACGAAGGUGAUUUUCCCUGGGUGAGGCUUAUCCAUUGCACUCGGGAUGAGCUGACCUCUGCGAUUUCCCCAAAUGCGGGAAACUCGACUGCAUAAUUUGUGGUAGUGGGGGACUGUGUUCGAGCUCUCCUCUA
ensembl:snRNA U1 U1 spliceosomal RNA